ACCACAGGAGACCAGACGGCUCAUUCAUUUCAGGGCGACCAGGGACAAUGAGUUCCUAAAAUCGAAAAUGAUCGCCAGAAAACAGUGGGAGCUUUUUCUGGAAGAAAUGGGGGUGGAGGGGAAAGUGACCAGGCAACAGGCUUCUAAGAAGUGGGAGAACCU